rnacentral:pre_miRNA from 1 species
GUUAGAGUAAUUUUGGGGUUAGUAGAAGGGAAUUAAAGUGGACGAAAAGACAAACCUGCCUUCGGUGGGAACCGAACCAUCUUUUCGUCCACUUUAAUUCCUUUCUACUUACCCCAAAAUUACUCUAAC